UUUAUCUUUGAGUAGGUUAGGGUUUCUUUGUGAUCGUUCUUUCUACUCUUCAACCUAGCCGUCUCCACUCACAUCAGUCUGCAAACACAAAGAUUUCUUACUCAACUCUUCACCUCUCCUAACGUUCAACGUAUUCCUCUUAAUUUCUCACCAAUAAAUGUCCCAAUAACAAUGUGACCUCUCCGUUUCCUUCCUUAGACCUAUAAAUUGGAGAAGAUUGAGAAUGUGAUAAAUCUUGACAAUCAAUCACUUUCAGUUAAUCUAUAUAUCAAGCAUACAAAGAUCCUUUGCUAACGUCUUCCUCCAAUGCUGUGAAGAGGCAGAUGAUUAACUAUAUGCUUCAGGACGAUGAAAAGCAUCAGAAGCCCUCCUGUCGGCCCUUCCCGAGAACCAUCACCGCCGUGGAGACAAAACCUGUUAUGAUUCUUUUUCAAUAAAAAAAAGCUUUAAUCUAUGAGCAGAUCUGAUCUGAUCUGUUCAAGCUAAUGUGAGCUCAUGUUUUAUCAGUUGUUCCAGAAGAUCAAAAAGGAGAAAGACAAGCAGCAAAAUGAUGAUGGAUGGAUUACAAAGUAAGGAGCUACCAAAACCAACAGAGACCAAAGUCAGCCAUGAAGGCGGUGUUCGUUGACGGGUGGGGUGGAACUGUAGUGUUAUUGCCAGGCAGUCAUGGUACUGCUGUGGGUUCAGGCAAGAAAUCAGAUUAGAGGCAGCCAGUAGUUUCAUAUUAAUUUAGCACUAUUACUUAUUUUUUUUCAUAUCAAAUCCAUUAUACGUUUAUGUUUGAUUUUUUUAAACGAGAUGUGGUUUUAAAGAAGGCUAUGUAUUAUAAUGGACAACAGAUAAAAUAAAGAGAUAUGAAAUGACGUUGUAUAUAUACUUUGAGAUUCCUGCAAGGUUUGGUCUCGGUGUCUGCGGUUUCGUGUUUGGUCUCGGUGGUGUAGUCUUCGGGUUCUCUUGCUGGGCCUUCUUUCGAUUCUAUCUGAACCGGUUCUAGGUUGAAUUCGUGCAAGGUUUGGUUCCUGCGUGAAGCUCUUGGAGCUUAUUUGCAUCCAGCCUCUGUGUGUUUGUUUACGUGGAAAGUCGACUCCAUUAAAAAAAAAAUUGAUAGCGGGUGUGGAGCCAAAAGUCAUCAUUACAAGUUGGCUAUUACUCAAUGUAAGCUCCUAAACACACUCCUACUUUGACCAUGAAAGCCUGUCCAGCUAGAGUUCAACGAGUAAAAGGCUUCAAACUGGAGAUUUUGGAAUAGCUUUGAUCUAAAUAGCGUCCUUGACUUAGUGGCACACUACUCACCGCAGGUCUUGUGAAGGUGGCAUAGGUUGCUACUAAAAUUCUUCCAAAUAUGGAGGUGUUCAGUUAAUAGAGUCAUCACACUGGCUGAAUUCUCCGCCACAAGUUCGUUUUCUUACUUUUUUACAUUGCAUUAGCUCCCAGCUUUGUUUCGAAUGUCACUGUUGUACUCUACUCAGUAUGCAACUAUAACACCACGGACGGUGGAGUGCCUCUGCACUCCCAAGUUGGUGGCACUGAGACUACUAUAACAGAUGGGUGGCAUGACGAGAAUGCUGUUGGGUUUGUUUACCUGAAUGACCGUCACUGUGAAACCUCUCAUGAGGUAGACAUAAAAGGUGCAGAGAACCCCACAGGUUGCCCUGAUGCUACAGUUGGUGAAGGAAGCACAAUGGACUCAACACCACUACCUUGUCAAACGGAGACAGUGGUAAGCAUUGACAGCAAAGCAAGUGAUUUCAGUUGGAAACAACAACAAUGCAGCAAGAGUAUUUGCUAAUCAUCAUCAUCAAGUAAAAUAAAGGUUUGAGGAUGCUUAGUGUAAGGGUGAGAUGCAAGUCGUGUAACUUCAGUCUCUGUUUCUGGUGGUUUUAUAUUUUUCUAUUUCUAUUAACAAAAAGAAAAUAACUAUUUGUUAUCAACUCUCAUGGUCUGCAAGUAAGGUUUUACUCCCGUUUAGCC